rnacentral:rRNA from 1 species
AACGCGAAGAACCUUACCUGGCCUUGACAUGCUGGUAGUAGAAACCGGAAACGGUGACGACUCCUCGCAAGAGGAGAGCCAGCACAGGUGCUGCAUGGUUGUCGUCAGCUCGUGUCGUGAGAUGUUGGCUUAAGUGCCGCAACGAGCGCAACCCCUGUGUUUAGUUGCCUGCGAAAGCGGGAUCUCUAAACAGACUGCCUCGCUUUAAACGAGGAGGAAGGUGGGGAUGACGUCAAAUCAGUAUGGCCCUUACGGCCAGGGCUGCACACGUGCUACAAUGCAUGGUACAGAGGGACGCAAGACCGCGAGGUGGAGCAAAUCCCAGAAAACCAUGCCCAGUUCAGAUUGAAGGCUGCAACUCGCCUUCAUGAAGCCGGAAUCGCUAGUAAUGGCGCAUCAGCUACGGCGCCGUGAAUACGUUCCCGGGCCUUGUA